GGAAGCAGCUUGCUUCUUUGCUGACGAGUGGCGGACGGGUGAGUAAUGUCUGGGAAACUGCCUGAUGGAGGGGGAUAACUACUGGAAACGGUAGCUAAUACCGCAUAACGUCGCAAGACCAAAGAGGGGGACCUUCGGGCCUCUUGCCAUCGGAUGUGCCCAGAUGGGAUUAGCUUGUUGGUGGGGUAACGGCUCACCAAGGCGACGAUCCCUAGCUGGUCUGAGAGGAUGACCAGCCACACUGGAACUGAGACACGGUCCAGACUCCUACGGGAGGCAGCAGUGGGGAAUAUUGCACAAUGGGCGCAAGCCUGAUGCAGCCAUGCCGCGUGUAUGAAGAAGGCCUUCGGGUUGUAAAGUACUUUCAGCGGGGAGGAAGGGAGUAAAGUUAAUACCUUUGCUCAUUGACGUUACCCGCAGAAGAAGCACCGGCUAACUCCGUGCCAGCAGCCGCGGUAAUACGGAGGGUGCAAGCGUUAAUCGGAAUUACUGGGCGUAAAGCGCACGCAGGCGGUUUGUUAAGUC
rnacentral:rRNA from 1 species